UCUAUAGCUACACGCCGGUUUGAUGACGUCACACGACCAAUAGCAAGGAAGGGGCGGGACUGGAGGAUGGCAGCGGAACUGCUUGUCCUCCAAUCGUUUGAGGACGAGGGGCGGGCUGCCAGAACAUCCUCGAACGGAAGGAGGGGCGGUGUUAUCCUUCCAACCAAUCGGGGAGACACAGUGACGGGACUGGAAUUCGAACCUCCUUCGGAACGUGUGACGGGCGGGGUUAGUGCUCCAACCAAUCAGUACACGGGAAGGCGGGUCUAACAACGUGACCAGAGCAUGCGCCGUCGGCGUGAUGGAGCCACAAUGUUGUUUUCUGGAUUGAAGGGAGGUCUGUUGUCUGUCCGUUCUUUUUACAGCGCAUUCAAUGGGAAGGAUUCCCAAAUCAUCAAUUCCAACCAGAUAUCACAGCAAGGUCUAACAGAGUCACUCUUUUCAGCAGCAUCUCACUGUCGUCGGUCUUUCACCGUGCAAGACAUUGCUGUCUAAGCCAGAAUAUACUGCCCAUCUAUGAUUGCUAAGGGGGCUGUCAAGAGUCAACUGCAUUGUUGUUGGGUUGGAGUCACAUGUAGGCCAGACCAGGCAAUUAGACAGUAAGUUCAAAUCAAAUGUGAGAUCAAGAGCUGCCAGCAAUGCUCGAUUCUCAGGACCUGAGUAUCACCAGCCUUGGAACAUGGAAGGAAAAAGCAUCGUUCACAGUGAAGAGAAACUGUACAGGUGGUCUGUGUAUGGACAAGGUUUCAGUCAAUCGUCUGGACUGUCAAUAUGUAAAUGCAAUCACAAUAAGGAAACAACAAUUGUGCUAAGCAGCACUUGCUUUGCAAUAUCAUGCUCAUGAAUCUCAGUUUCAGUUAAGCAAGAUUCACUCAACUCCGGAUCUCUUUACAUUCUUGGUGCAAACGUGGACCUAACAGCUAAAUUCCAGAGCUGAGAGUGACUAUCCUCUACAUUAAGGCUCCAUCUGACAGACUAGUUUAUCAAUGAAUCAUAAAGCUAGAGUCAAUGGGCGUCAGAAAAUAUUAUUCGUUCGCAAUAUGGGGUUUUUACAAAUAGAGUCUUCAGACCUGAGUAGAUCAUAAGAAUAUGACUUUAUUCAAGCUCGUACGAUAUUUCUGUGGAAGAGGUCUGUAAGUCUUGCUUGGAGACACUCAGCCAUUUUCAGCUGAAACCAGCAUAUUAAUACAUUUUUGUGUCACCUUCAGUAUUGAUAUAAAAUAAGAGGUAACACAGUGUGGAGCUGGAUGAGCACAGCAAGCCAGGCAGCAUCAGAGGAGUAGGAAAGU